AACGAACGCUGGCGGCAUGCCUAACACAUGCAAGUCGAACGAGACCUUCGGGUCGAGUGGCGCACGUGAGCGUAACGCGUGGGAACCUGCCCUGAGGUGCGGAAUAACUCCCCGAAAGGGGUGCUAAUACCGGAUAAUGUCUUGGGACCAAAGAUUUAUCGCCUUUGGAUGGGCCCGCGUUUGAUUAGCUAGUUGGCAGGGUAAAAGCCUACCAAGGCGACGAUCCAUAGCUGGUCUGAGAGGAUGAUCAGCCACACUGGGACUGAGACACGGCCCAGACUCCUACGGGAGGCAGCAGUGGGGAAUAUUGGACAAUGGGCGCAAGCCUGAUCCAGCCAUGCCGCGUGAGUGAUGAAGGCCUUAGGGUUGUAAAGCUCUUUUACCCGGGAUGAUAAUGACAGUACCGGGAGAAUAAGCCCCGGCUAACUUCGUG
rnacentral:rRNA from 1 species